rnacentral:rRNA from 1 species
GACGAACGCUGGCGGCGUGCUUAACACAUGCAAGUCGAACGAAGAGCGAUGGAAGCUUGCUUCUAUCAAUCUUAGUGGCGUACGGGUGAGUAACGCGUAAUCAACCUGCCCUUCAGAGGGGGACAACAGUUGGAAACGACUGCUAAUUCCGCAUACGAUCCAAUCUCGGCAUCGAGGAUAGAUGAAAGGUGGCCUCUACAUGUAAGCUAUCACUGAAGGAGGGGAUUGCGUCUGAUUAGCUAGUUGGAGGGGUAACGGCCCACCAAGGCGAUGAUCAGUAGCCGGUCUGAGAGGAUGAACGGCCACAUUGGGACUGAGACACGGCCCAGACUCCUACGGGAGGCAGCAGUGGGGAAUCUUCCGCAAUGGACGAAAGUCUGACGGAGCAACGCCGCGUGAGUGAUGACGGCCUUCGGGUUGUAAAGCUCUG